rnacentral:rRNA from 1 species
GACGAACGCUGGCGGCGUGCCUAAUACAUGCAAGUCGAGCGAAGUUUUUCUGUUUCUUGCACUUGAACUACUUAGCGGCGAACGUGUGUGUAACACGUAAAGUACCUUCCUCAUAGUCUUGGACUACUAUUGGAAACGUUAGCUAAUACCGGAUUACAGUAUUUCUCGCUUUUUAGUUAUUUAUAAGUUUUUUAUUCUAACACUAUGAUUUUGCUUUGCGGUGCAUUAGCUAGUUGGUGGGGUAAAGGCCCACCAAGGCGACGAUGCAUAGCCGACCUGAGAGGGGGAUCGGCCAAACGGGAACUGAGACACGGACCAGAGUCCUACGGGAGGCAGCAGUAGGGAAUCUUCCGCAAUGGGCGAAAGCCUGACGGAGCAACGGCGCGUGAGUGAAGAAGGAUGGCGGUUCGUAAAGCACUGUUGUUAGGGAAGAAUGGAUAUGUAGUAACAAGACAUGUAAGAGACGGUAACUAACCAGAAAGCAACGGCUAACUACGUG